CGGAAGGUCCGGGCGUUAUCCGGAUUUAUUGGGUUAAAGGGAGCGUAGGCCGGAGAUUAAGCGUGUUGUGAAAUGUAGAACGCUCACGUCUGCACUGCAGCGCGAACUGGUUUCCUUGAGUACGCACAAAGUGGGCGGAAUUCGUGGUGUAGCGGUGAAAUGCUUAGAUAUCACGAAGAACUCCGAUUGCGAAGGCAGCUCACUGGAGCGCAACUGACGCUGAAGCUCGAAAGUGCGGGUAUCGA
rnacentral:rRNA from 1 species